CAGCCGCCGCGGGAAUACGUAGGUGGCAAGCGUUGUCCGGAAUUAUUGGGCGUAAAGGGCUCGCAGGCGGUUUCUUAAGUCUGAUGUGAAAGCCCCCGGCUCAACCGGGGAGGGUCAUUGGAAACUGGGAAACUUGAGUGCAGAAGAGGAGAGUGGAAUUCCACGUGUAGCGGUGAAAUGCGUAGAGAUGUGGAGGAACGCCAGUGGCGAAGGCGACUCUCUGGUCUGUAACUGACGCUGAGGAGCGAAAGCGUGGGGAGCGAACAGGAUUAGAUACCCCAGUAGUCCCUGUCUCUUAUAC
rnacentral:rRNA from 1 species